rnacentral:rRNA from 1 species
UACGUAGGGUGCAAGCGUUGUCCGGAUUUAUUGGGCGUAAAGAGUUCGUAGGCGGUUUGUCACGUCGGAUGUGAAAACCCGGAGCUUAACUCCGGGCCUGCAUUCGAUACGGGCUGACUAGAGUGUUGUAGGGGAGACUGGAACUCCUGGUGUAGCGGUGAAAUGCGCAGAUAUCAGGAAGAACACCGGUGGCGAAGGCGGGUCUCUGGGCAACUACUGACGCUGAGGAACGAAAGCGUGGGGAGCAAACAGG